AACGAACGCUGGCGGCAUGCCUAACACAUGCAAGUCGAACGAGACCUUCGGGUCUAGUGGCGCACGGGUGCGUAACGCGUGGGAAUCUGCCCUUGGGUUCGGAAUAACAGUUGGAAACGACUGCUAAUACCGGAUGAUGACGUAAGUCCAAAGAUUUAUCGCCCAGGGAUGAGCCCGCGUAGGAUUAGCUAGUUGGUGGGGUAAAGGCCUACCAAGGCGACGAUCCUUAGCUGGUCUGAGAGGAUGAUCAGCCACACUGGGACUGAGACACGGCCCAGACUCCUACGGGAGGCAGCAGUGGGGAAUAUUGGACAAUGGGCGAAAGCCUGAUCAAGCAAUGCCGCGUGAGUGAUGAAGGCCUUAGGGUUGUAAAGCUCUUUUACCCGGGAUGAUAAUGACAGUACCGGGAGAAUAAGCCCCGGCUAACUCCGUG
rnacentral:rRNA from 1 species